GACUAUUUUCCAGUUCAGGAAUACAAUUGCAUACAAUGACAAACUCUUAUGGAGCUCACAAGGGAAGAAAGGCAGUAAACCAACCAACAAAUACAGUAUAAGAUUGAAAUCCAGGUGACUGGAAAAGUAAGACUUGGCCAGGUAAAGAGAGUUGAAUGGCAUGAAACAGCAUCCUGAAUAAAGGCAGAGGCAUGUGCAAGCAUGCUGAGGCAUGAUGAUCCCUUUGAAGAUGUUUGUCACGGCUGGAAUAUCUUCUAAAAGAUAAAGAAGGAAGCAAGAGAAAAAUGC
rnacentral:lncRNA from 1 species